GUUAGAGUUGGCCCCUACACUUUACGUAACAAAACUUCCAAAUUAUAUGUAACCCGAUCGUUUUCGAUUCGCAUAACUAAUUGUAACGGGGUUUUUCAAAUGUGUACAUCGUUAUAUCGUUCAAAAAUUUAAAACUGGUUUAUCAACGGGCGACCCGUGAUCCCGUCCUACACACACACUAACCGAAUCGAUAGAAACGUAUU